rnacentral:rRNA from 1 species
UGGGGAAUUUUGGACAAUGGCGCAAGCCUGAUCCAGCCGUGCCGCGUGCGGGAAGGAGGCCUUCGGGUUGUAAACCGCUUUUGUCAGGGAAGAAAUCUUCUGAGUUAAUACCUCGGGAGGAUGACGGUACCUGAAGAAUAAGCACCGGCUAACUACGUGCCAGCAGCCGCGGUAAUACGUAGGGUGCAAGCGUUAAUCGGAAUUACUGGGCGUAAAGCGUGCGCAGGCGGUUUUGUAAGACAGAGGUGAAAUCCCCGGGCUCAACCUGGGAACUGCCUUUGUGACUGCAAGGCUUGAGUGCGGCAGAGGGGGAUGGAAUUCCGCGUGUAGCAGUGAAAUGCGUAGAUAUGCGGAGGAACACCGAUGGCGAAGGCAAUCCCCUGGGCCUGCACUGACGCUCAUGCACGAAAGCGUGGGGAGCAAACAGGAUUAGAUACCCUGGUAGUCCACGCCCUAAACGAUGUCAACUGGUUGUUGGGAAGGUUCCUUCUCAGUAACGUAGCUAACGCGUGAAGUUGACCGCCUGGGGAGUACGGCCGCAAGGUUG